rnacentral:rRNA from 1 species
AAAAACUCCGGUGGUAUGAGAUGGGCCCGCGUCUGAUUAGCUAGUUGGCGGGGUAACGGCCCACCAAGGCAACGAUCAGUAGCCGACCUGAGAGGGCGACCGGCCACAUUGGGACUGAGACACGGCCCAAACUCCUACGGGAGGCAGCAGUGGGGAAUAUUGCACAAUGGGGGAAACCCUGAUGCAGCGACGCCGCGUGAGCGAUGAAGUAUUUCGGUAUGUAAAGCUCUAUCAGCAGGGAAGAAGAUGACGGUACCUGACUAAGAAGCCCCGGCUAACUACGUGCCAGCAGCCGCGGUAAUACGUAGGGGGCAAGCGUUAUCCGGAUUUACUGGGUGUAAAGGGAGCGUAGACGGCGGUGCAAGCCAGAUGUGAAAGCCCGGGGCUCAACCCCGGGACUGCAUUUGGAACUGUAUGGCUGGAGUGUCGGAGAGGCAGGCGGAAUUCCUAGUGUAGCGGUGAAAUGCGUAGAUAUUAGGAGGAACACCAGUGGCGAAGGCGGCCUGCUGGACGAUGACUGACGUUGAGGCUCGAAAGCGUGGGGAGCAAACAGGAUUAGAUACCCUGGUAGUCCACGCCGUAAACGAUGACUACUAGGUGUCGGGCAGCAAAG